GACGAACGCUGGCGGCGUGCUUAACACAUGCAAGUCGAACGGAAAGGCCCCUUUGGGGGUACUCGAGUGGCGAACGGGUGAGUAACACGUGAGUAACCUGCCCUUGACUUCGGGAUAACUUCAGGAAACUGGGGCUAAUACCGGAUAGGAAUCCUUGCUGCAUGGUGGGGGUUGGAAAGCUUCGGCGGUUUUGGAUGGACUCGCGGCUUAUCAGCUUGUUGGUGGGGUAGUGGCUUACCAAGGCUUUGACGGGUAGCCGGCCUGAGAGGGCGACCGGCCACAUUGGGACUGAGAUACGGCCCAGACUCCUACGGGAGGCAGCAGUGGGGAAUAUUGCACAAUGGGCGGAAGCCUGAUGCAGCAACGCCGCGUGCGGGAUGACGGCCUUCGGAUUGUAAACCGCUUUCAGCAGGGGCGAAGCUUUUGUGACGGUACCUGCAGAAGAAGCACCGGCUAACUACGUG
rnacentral:rRNA from 1 species